GUACGGCAAUUGGAAAACGCAUCCCUCAAAGUUGCAGAGAGGAACUUGCAUUUCCUGGAAGGAUUUGGUGGUUCCUGAUGAUAAAAGACACCCAUAUUGUAGAACUUGAAAAUUUUAUCUUUUCGAUACAGAAAUAUAUAAAGAACCAACGUAUAAAAUAACAAGUCACGCCUGGAGUUGAUGUUCAAAUUGACCUGCCUCGGUGAUAGUGGCCUUGCAGCUUAUU
rnacentral:misc_RNA from 1 species